CGGGGUGCAGCAGGCGCGAAACCUUUGCCAUGCGCGAAAGCGUGACAGGGGAAUUCCGAGUGGUAGGGGGGUUUACCUCCCUAUCUUUUGGCCAAUCCAAACAAUUGGCAGAAUAAGAUCUGGGUAAGACCAGUGCCAGCCGCCGCGGUAAUACUGGCAGAGCAAGUGGUAUCCACGAAUAUUGGGUCUAAAGAGUCCGUAGCGGGCCUGUUAAGUCCACUGUGAAAUCUGGCGGCUCAACCGUCAGGCGUGCAGUGGAUACUGGCAGGCUUGGGAGUGGGGGAGGUCGGGAGUACUCACGGGGUAACGGUAAAAUGUUGUAAUCCUGUGAGGACUACCAGUGGCGAAGGCGCCCGACCAAAACACGUCCGACCGUGAGGGACGAAGGCUAGGAGAACGAAUCGGAUUAGAUACCCGAGUAGCCCUAGCAGUAAAUUAUGCAGACUGUGGUGUUGCGUCGACUUCGAGUCGGCGCAGUGCUGUAGCGUAGGUGUUAAGUCUGCCACCUGGGGAGUACGGCCGCAAGGUUGAAACUUAAAGGAAUUGGCGGGGGAGCAC
rnacentral:rRNA from 1 species